rnacentral:snRNA from 14 species
UUAUUUGUGCAGGGGCAGUGUCGUAGCUGAUGAGGUUAAUCUGAGGCGUGAUUAUUGCUAAUUGAAGGUUUAUUUUGGUCAGGGCUUGUCACAGGUUGGCCUGCCUAUGACCAACAAGGGAAAUGGUUUUAGUAGAUGUGGACAAUGCUCUGUUGCAAAAGUGAUAAGGUUAGUCUUUGAUUACAAUGUUGAAAGUAUCCUUUUAUA